AGGACGAACGCUGGCGGCGUGCUUAACACAUGCAAGUCGAGCGGAAAGGCCCUUCGGGGUACUCGAGCGGCGAACGGGUGAGUAACACGUGAGUAAUCUGCCCCUAGCUCUGGGAUAGCUCCGGGAAACCGGGAUUAAUACCGGAUACGACCACCUUAGACAUCUUUUGUGGUGGAAAGAAUUUCGGCUAGGGAUGAGCUCGCGGCCUAUCAGCUUGUUGGUGGGGUAACGGCCUACCAAGGCGACGACGGGUAGCCGGCCUGAGAGGGCGACCGGCCACACUGGGACUGAGACACGGCCCAGACUCCUACGGGAGGCAGCAGUGGGGAAUAUUGCGCAAUGGGCGAAAGCCUGACGCAGCGACGCCGCGUGGGGGAUGAAGGCCUUCGGGUUGUAAACCCCUUUCAGCAGGGACGAAGCGAAAGUGACGGUACCUGCAGAAGAAGCGCCGGCUACUACGCGCCAGCAGCCGC
rnacentral:rRNA from 1 species